AGGUCAAGCAAGUAAGAGCGUAAGGUGGAUGCCUUGGCACUAAGAGCCGAA
rnacentral:rRNA from 1 species